rnacentral:rRNA from 1 species
CUAAUAGCGUAUAUUAAAGUUGUUGCAGUUAAAAAGCUCGUAGUUGAAUUUCAGGGUUAAUAAGUUAGUCGUACCUAUGGUAUGUACUGGCUUUAUUGAUUCCUACCUCUUGACGAACUGUGAUGCCAUUAAUUUGGUGUUGCAAGGAACCAGGACUGUUACCUUAAAAAAAUUAGAGUGUUUAAAGCAGGCUUACGCUU